rnacentral:rRNA from 1 species
CCUACGGGAGGCAGCAGUGGGGAAUUUUGGACAAUGGGGGAAACCCUGAUCCAGCGAUGCUGCGUGCGGGAAGAAGGCCUUAGGGUUGUAAACCGCUUUCAGCUAGGAAGAAAAGGUUAUAGUUAAUAUCUGUAACUUAUGACGGUACUAGCAGAAGAAGCACCGGCUAACUACGUGCCAGCAGCCGCGGUAAUACGUAGGGUGCAAGCGUUAAUCGGAAUUACUGGGCGUAAAGAGUGCGCAGGCGGCUCUUUAAGACAGGUGUGAAAUCCCCGAGCUCAACUUGGGAAUUGCGCUUGUGACUGGAGAGCUAGAGUGCGGAAGAGGGGGAUAGAAUUCCUGGUGUAGCAGUGAAAUGCGUAGAUAUCAGGAGGAAUACCGAUGGCGAAGGCAGUCCCCUGGGCCAGCACUGACGCUCAUGCACGAAAGCGUGGGGAGCAAACAGGAUUAGAUACCCUGGUAGUCCACGCCCUAAACGAUGUCAACUAGUUGUUGGAAGAGGAGACUCUUUUAGUAACGAAGCUAACGCGUGAAGUUGACCGCCUGGGGAGUACGGUCGCAAGAUUAAAACUCAAAGGAA